UCAAACAGCGGCCUUCGGGCCUUGCUGCACCCUUGUCUUUUGCGUACCGUAUGUUUCCUCGGCGGGCUUGCCUGCCGGUUGGACAUUCAUCAAAACCUUUUUGUAGUUGCAAUCAGCGUCAGAAAACAAAUAAUUAUUA
rnacentral:misc_RNA from 1 species